CCCAUGUGCUCCUUCCCUAGAUUGGCCGUCAUCACAAAGGCAGAUGAGUUCACAACAAGUCAGAAGAAAAUUAGAAUGGCUACAGUCAUUUGAAAGGAGGAAAAAGCUGUCAUCAUUUUAUAACAAGGCCCAAGGCUAGCUGAUAAAUGACAAACACAUUGCAGAGUGGACUUUUUGGUAGAGUCAGGGUUAUAGGAGAAUAGGAAAUGUACACUUUAUCAAAACAAUUUAAG